rnacentral:lncRNA from 1 species
CUCGUUAGAGGAAACUAUAAAGGCAUAAACCAUGGUUCUGCCUAAGAAAUAUCAUCAAAACAAACCUGCAUCUUCUUUGUUCAGAGCUGUGUGUGGAAAGCAAUCGAGGCCAGUUUCUCGUCUGUUUCUGGGGAGCUCGUAUGUUCCAAGGACAGGAAGACACUGUUAGGAAGGGCCGCUUGCCUGGAGUUAUCCCUCCUUGUGUGUGCAGACAUGUUGCUGGAAAACUGCAGUGUUCUUGGGCCUGGAUUCAGCUGCUCCAUGACCUGAGGGUGGCAGGAAGGGAAGCUGCACAGCUGGAUGGCUGUCACCACUUCUGUGCCUGCUGGGGGCUGACAGAG